rnacentral:rRNA from 1 species
GAUGAACGCUGGCGGCGUGCCUAAUACAUGCAAGUCGAGCGAACAGACGAGGAGCUUGCUCCUCUGACGUUAGCGGCGGACGGGUGAGUACACGUGGAUAACCUACCUAUAAGACUGGGAUAACUUUGGGAAACCGGAGCUAAUACCGGAUAAUAUAUUGAACCGCAUGGUUCAAUAGUGAAAGACGGUUUUGCUGUCACUUAUAGAUGGAUCCGCGCCGCAUUAGCUAGUUGGUAAGGUAACGGCUUACCAAGGCAACGAUGCGUAGCCGACCUGAGAGGGUGAUCGGCCACACUGGAACUGAGACACGGUCCAGACUCCUACGGGAGGCAGCAGUAGGGAAUCUUCCGCAAUGGGCGAAAGCCUGACGGAGCAACGCCGCGUGAGUGAUGAAGGUCUUCGGAUCGUAAAACUCUGUUAUUAGGGAAGAACAAAUGUGUAAGUAACUAUGCACGUCUUGACGGUACCUAAUCAGAAAGCCACGGCUAACUACGUG